CCUACGGGAGGCAGCAGUGGGGAAUAUUGGGCAAUGGGCGCAAACCUGACCCAGCAACGCCGCGUGAAGGAAGAAGGCUUUCGGGUUGUAAACUUCUUUUCUGAGGGACGAAGAAAGUGACGGUACCUCAGGAAUAAGCCACGGCAAACUACGGGCCAGAAGCCGCGGUAAUACGUAGGUGGCAAGCGUUAUCCGGAUUUAUUGGGUGUAAAGGGCGUGUAGGCGGGAAAGCAAGUCAGAUGGGAAAACUCAGGGCUCAACCCUGAGCCUGCAUUUGAAACUGUUUGUCUUGAGUGCUGGAGAGGCAAUCGGGAUUCCGUGUGUAGCGGUGAAAUGCGUAGAUAUACGGAGGAACACCAGUGGCGAAGGCGGAUUGCUGGACAGUAACUGACGCUGAGGCGCGAAAGCGUGGGGAGCAAACAGGAUUAGAUACCCGGGUAGUC
rnacentral:rRNA from 1 species